CCAGGUAAGAGUGGAGCCCUGGUGGGUGGGGCCUUCGGGCUGUCCCCGGUCUACCCCUCACAGCCCCUUUGCCUCCGCAGAGCUAUGGAGGUGGCAUGCGACCCCCACCCAACUCCCUCGCCGGCCCAGGCCUGCCUGCCAUGAACAUGGGCCCAGGAGUUCGUGGCCCGUGGGCCAGCCCCAGUGGAAACUCGAUCCCCUACUCCUCCUCAUCUCCCGGCAGCUACACGGGACCCCCAGGAGGAGGUGGGCCCCCUGGAACACCCAUCAUGCCUAGCCCUGGAGAUUCCACCAACUCCAGCGAAAACAUGUACACUAUCAUGAACCCCAUCGGGCAGGGCGCCGGCAGGGCUAAUUUCCCGCUUGGCCCUGGCCCGGAGGGCCCCAUGGCCGCCAUGAGCGCGAUGGAGCCUCACCACGUGAACGGAUCCCUGGGCUCGGGCGACAUGGACGGGUUGCCGAAGGUAAGGAGGCUGCGCUCUUGCCGGGGAUGGGAUCCGGGG
rnacentral:sRNA from 1 species